AGAGUUUGAUCCUGGCUCAGGAUGAACGUCGGCGGUGUGCCUAAUACAUGCAAGUCGUACGCACUGGCCCAACUGAUUGAUGGUGCUUGCACCUGAUUGACGUUGGAUCACCAGUGAGUGGCGGACGGGUGAGUAACACGUAGGUAACCUGCCCCGGAGCGGGGGAUAACAUUUGGAAACAGAUGCUAAUACCGCAUAACAACAAAAGCCACAUGGCUUUUGUUUGAAAGAUGGCUUUGGCUAUCACUCUGGGAUGGACCUGCGGUGCAUUAGCUAGUUGGUAAGGUAGCGGCUUACCAAGGCGAUGAUGCAUAGCCGAGUUGAGAGACUGAUCGGCCACAAUGGAACUGAGACACGGUCCAUACUCCUACGGGAGGCAGCAGUAGGGAAUCUUCCACAAUGGGCGCAAGCCUGAUGGAGCAACACCGCGUGAGUGAAGAAGGGUUUCGGCUCGUAAAGCUCUGUUGUUGGAGAAGAACGUGCGUGAGAGUAACUGUUCACGCAGUGACGGUAUCCAACCAGAAAGUCACGGCUAACUACGUGCCAGCAGCCGCGGUAAUACGUAGGUGGCAAGCGUUAUCCGGAUUUAUUGGGCGUAAAGCGAGCGCAGGCGGUUGCUUAGGUCUGAUGUGAAAGCCUUCGGCUUAACCGAAGAAGUGCAUCGGAAACCGGGCGACUUGAGUGCAGAAGAGGACAGUGGAACUCCAUGUGUAGCGGUGGAAUGCGUAGAUAUAUGGAAGAACACCAGUGGCGAAGGCGGCUGUCUGGUCUGCAACUGACGCUGAGGCUCGAAAGCAUGGGUAGCGAACAGGAUUAGAUACCCUGGUAGUCCAUGCCGUAAACGAUGAGUGCUAGGUGUUGGAGGGGUUUCCGCCCUUCAGUGCUGGAGGUGACGCAUUAAGCACUCCGCGUGGGGAGUACGACUGCAAGGUUGAAACUCAAGGGAAUUGACGGGGGCCGGCACAAGCGGUGGAGCAUGUGGUUUAAUUGGAAGCUACGCGAAGAACCUUACCAGGUCUUGACAUCUUGCGCUAACCUUAGAGAUAAGGCGUUCCCUUCGGGGACGCAAUGACAGGUGGUGCAUGGUUGUCGUCAGCUCGUGUCGUGAGAUGUUGGGUUAAGUCCCGCAACGAGCGCAACCCUUAUUGUCAGUUGCUACGCAAGAGCACUCUAACGAGACUGCCGUUGACAAAACGGAGGAAGGUGGGGACGACGUCAAGUCAUCAUGCCCCUUAUGCCCUGGGCUGCACACGUGCUACAAUGGCCGGUACAGAGGGUUGCCACCCCGCGAGGGGGAGCGGAUCCCGGAAAGCCGGCCCCAGUUCGGAUCGCAGGCUGCAACCCGCCUGCGUGAAGCCGGAGUUGCUAGUAAUCGCGGAUCAGCACGCCGCGGUGAAUACGUUCCCGGGCCUUGUACAAACCGCCCGUCA
rnacentral:rRNA from 1 species